rnacentral:misc_RNA from 1 species
GUCAACUCUUCUUCUUCAAAUCUCAAAUCUCAAAUCUGAAAUAUCAGAGAGGGAUUGAGGGGUCACAGAGCAAUGGGGGCAUUAACAACGGCGCUGAUAGCAAUUGGAGGCGUAGUUCUCGGCUGGAUCACCAUCGAGAUGGCUUGCAAGCCUUGUCUUGAAAAAGGUCGAGAAGCCAUUGAUCAAAAUCUCAACCCAGACUAUGACCCAGAUGAUCAACACAGUAUCCGGGAACCUCUAACUGCAAACGCAACUCAAGACACCGAUCCGGAUUCCGCUUCUUCAACUGCCGUUAAAAUUGUCUGAUCAUAUCCUAUUCUCCUCCCUAUUUUGCUUGAUUGCAAUUGCCCCA